rnacentral:lncRNA from 1 species
AUCUCCAGUCUUGAAAUGGGCUGACGUUUGGAGAGACAGUCACCUUCCCAUGGAAGCAAGGCUCCGAGGAUGGGCUCCCCGUGGGGAGCAGUUCCAAGCUUGUCCGGUUUGUCUUGUGGGUGCUUGUGGUGAGAGAAUAAUCCAGAAAGCUUUCCCAGAGGUUUACAACGGCAUUAGAAAGCUUCAGAGAAGAGCAGCCUGGCCCAGAGGAGCUCAUAAUUCUGUUUCAUCACACAAUUAUCAGCAAUGACCCCUUUCCCACAUUUCCAACAAAACAUCUUGAAGGACUCAUAUUUCUAAAAUUCACCCAUCCACAAAUCUUAAUUACUGCAAAGAAUUCCACAUUGCAGAUGCCUCAGACUUAAAAAAGAAAAAGAAAAAAUCCACGAAAUGUGUUUGUUUUCUCACGGCUUCGUUUAAAACCGUUCAAAGGCAACAGAUUUUGCUUUACACCGUUGCGCUCUGCGUGCUCAAGCUGCUUCGAAGCUGUUGACUGAGCUGUGAUUGCUAUGAGUCAUCUGCUCACUCGACAAAUUCACUAAAAACCUGCUUUGCCUAAAUGUUAGUUGUAACUUGAACCUAUUGUUUCAUUGAAUUUAAUUUACUUGGGAGAGGGUGGGGAAAAUAAACUGUAAUUUUAUGAUUGAUUGAAAUGGUUAAAAGUUUAUUUCCCUGCUCCUAAAGUUUUUUUUUUUUUUUCUCACUUUAAGAUAAAAAAUCCAUACUAGUAUUUCAG